rnacentral:rRNA from 1 species
UACGAAGGGGGCUAGCGUUGCUCGGAAUCACUGGGCGUAAAGGGUGCGUAGGCGGGUUUUUAAGUCAGGGGUGAAAUCCUGGAGCUCAACUCCAGAACUGCCUUUGAUACUGAAGAUCUUUGAGUCCGGGAGAGGUGAGUGGAACUGCGAGUGUAGAGGUGAAAUUCGUAGAUAUUCGCAAGAACACCAGUGGCGAAGGCGGCUCACUGGCCCGGUACUGACGCUGAGGCACGAAAGCGUGGGGAGCAAACAGGG